AUGUCGUAUGAAAGGAGAGAAGGUCAGCACGUCCCUUCACAAGGAUGGAAGAGGCCGCUAGGCCUAAUAACAUGCAUACAGCUAAGGCAUUGCUAACUGCCUUGUGGCAUCUAACCACUGUGUUUU